UCUCUCCCCUGAUGACUUGCACUGGGCUCUGAGUCUGUAUGGAGAGAGUCGUGCGUCUUUGGCCCUGACAAGCCAGAGUUUCUGAGGAGAGA